AAAAACAGAGAGAGAGUCUCUAAGAUUCUCUCAACACUCUCAGCCCUCAGAAUUUGGCGAGGACCCAGUCACCGGAGCACCAGCGGCCGCCGCCGUGCACGGCGGUAGGACGCCCAAAGUUCGUCGCCUUUCGGUGAUUUCAAAGGUACACCUCUUUUUCUUAUUUUAUUUUCGUGUUAAAAAGAAACAAAACAUAAUAAAUAAAUAAAAAAUGGAAAAGAACAAUCGGGGAAGACUAAAAAACAACUCUCAAACUUUCGUUUUCUGUUUGUUUUUUUUAUUUUCGUUUUUAAAAAAUUAAAAAAAAACAACAAUGAAAGUAAAGAAAAAGGAAAGAUUCAAGCAAAAAAACUAGGAAAUCACCUUAGUUUUUUUUUUCUUAGUGUUCGUAAAGAAAAGAAGAAGAGCCAUACAAGGAAGAGAUUUUCGGCUUUUAUAGCCGAUCUACACAACUUUUAAUUUCUAUUUCUUUGUGUUUUUGCUAUUUGUUUCUUCCGUUGUUGCGUGCCUUUUGCAUUCAAUUUUUGCAGGUGUCAGAGCAUACGGAGGAAAGGCGGCUAGGAGCGGCGGUAGCCAGGCAUGGCAGAGGAGGCGAAACGGCGUUGAGGCUGGAGCCUGGGCAUGCGGGGCAUGCGGCGCAUGGAGGCUUGGGGGCUAGGGUUUGGUACUGCUGAAUGGGGUUAAUUUUUGGGCUAGGGUUUCUUAAUUUGGGCCUGUUGGGUAUUUUGGGCCACUGUUUAUUUUGGACUGUGUGUUUUUUUGCUGGUAUUGGGCUUUAGUGUUUUGGGCCCCGGGCAAAAUUUGGGUUUUACAUGAGUAGUUUGAUAUUCUGAUUCAAUCUUGUUCCGAAGAGCUUCAGUAGAGAUCUCGUCCAGGAGGUCCUCGGCAUCAUAAACAGCAUCUUUGAGCUCAUCGGUCCAACUUUUGACAUUUGGGUUGGCAAUCUGCUUAUUUUCAGCAUCAUCCAACACUGCUUUCACCGACAUCAAGGUUGGCUUGAGUUUCUUCAGUAGCACAACUUCAAGUUUCUUUCCUUUGAUAAGCCUCAGAACAUCGGCAUAAACAAUCCUAUCAAGCAGCACCUCAAUGGAAGCAGAGAGAAAAGCUUCAGCCACCAUAGCCAUGUUUUUUUGUGGGGUUUUUUUCGGUAAAUAAAGGUUUAAAGGAAGAUGAAAAGGGAAGUAAUAACAAAGAAAGGAAAAGAAGAGUGCUUCAACUAAAGAGAAGACACGAUUGCAAAGAUGAAGGAUUUGGAUUUGAAACAGAGAAAGGAAGUGCAAAGCAAAUAGUCAACAAGGAACAGUAGAAGGAUUGGAUGAAAGGGGAAGGCUUUAACUCGCAAAUACUUUAGUUUCAAUAAAUUUGUGUAUAAAAUUUCUUUAUUGGAAUGUUUGAAAAAUGAUUUUGGGUUGAAAAGUAUGGAAAAUUAAUGUAUUACACAAAUGAUGAAAUAAUAUGGAAAACAACAUAAUAAUAUAAAAAUAUCUUGAAAUUUAUAUUUAUAAAUUAAGUAGAUUUUAUUCCUAAGAUUGCAAAAUUAACAAAUCCUUUGUAAUUUGUCUUUUUUAUUUUAAAAAAGGGGUAAAUUAAUCCUCGUACAUUAAAUUAAGAGUAAAAUAAUUAUUCUGUUAAAAUUUUUAUCCAUUUAAAUUAUUAAAAAUUGGUCCUAGUAUAUCAACAUGAGGUAUAUAUGGUAUGUCACAUGUCAUUAUUCGGUUAUUUUAUCAAUCAUAUCAAUUUUUAACAGUACAAAUGGAUAAAAUUUUUAACAAAAAAAAGGAUUAAUUUGUUCUUUGAUCUAACGUAUAAGGACUAAUUUACUCAUCUUAUAUUAAAUGGGACAAAAUAUAAUCUAACUCCUAGUAUAGAGAGCUCCAUAAUAUUUUACGGUGCAAAUUAUAUAUUAACAUAUCAAAAAAUUUAUAUAAAUAUAAAAAUACGAUACAUAUCCAUAAAUUCUUAGAUCUAAUAAUAAUAGCCAAGUAGUUUCAAAUAAAUAAAUCUUAGAAUAAAGAAAUGAGAUUAAUAUUCAUAAAACUAGAUAAAAAGAACAGUAAAGAACUGAUGCCGCCUGACUAAGUGACGGCACCCUCUUAUUUAUUUCAAACCAAAAUACAAAUUUAUUUUAAGAGGAUACGAAAUAAAACAAAAUAAUAAUAAUUUUUUAUUAGUGCGGCCCAGGCGGCAACCUAUUAUUUUUAAAAGGAAAAUUGUUUUUUGUACUCUCCUUAUGUAUAUCCAUAGGGAACUCCCAUAAGCCAUAAGCCAUUAAAUGCUUCCAUCGAGUAACCAGUUCAUGACAAAGGACACCCACCGAGGACAGUGUAGCCAUAGAGCCCCAGAGCUCCAACCCACUAUGAAAUAUCCAACGCCAGUGAAGCACCAAUCACACCCCAAUCCAACACAUUUACGAACACCCAACUCGUCAACACAUUCACCCCUAAAGCACAAAACGAGACAUAGGCUAACACCCUAGUCUUCAACUGGCUUUGCAAGAACCUUUGUAAUGGGAACUGAAACGCAAAGCUAAAGUGCAAAGGUAUCAACCAAAUCGCCACCACCCCCGACAUCUCCCCCACGUCGUCCAGCUGUCCGAAUAGCUUUAAAACCGGGGUAGCAAAUACGUAAAUGGGUAACAACAAAGGAGUAAAACGAUCCAAGAUCUUUGCAUGUAAAGGCCGAACAUGUGGUAUUGUUUAGCACCAAAAGCUUGUCCACAAAGGGUUUCUAAAGCACUCGCCAUCCCUAAUUAUAUUAAAGUGAAAAAAAAAACCUAAUGUUAAGAGACAAAUAUGGUAAAAAGAAAACUAAUGGAACAAAAAAGAAAGUCUCAUCUAAUGAAAAUUUACUAUGAGGCCAAAGUUGAAGCCAACGAUGGCCGUAUUGGCUAUUGAAAUAGCUACAAGUUGAACAUCACCAAGGUGACCAGCAAAAGCUUGGGUUAUAAUGUUCAUGGAGUAGAAGCAACAGGAGUUACAGGACUGAUGAUUGAAGGUCCUACGAUGACCCAUAGCUUCUUUGUUUCGAUCCAUAGCCUUGUACUUAAGUCCUUCUUCCCCAUCUUCAUCUCUCCAUUUAUUUUCUUCUGGUUUUGAUUCUUCAUGAUUUGAACCUGGUUCUGUUAGUAAAGGUUGAUGGUAUUCGCCACUGUUCCCAUGGAUACUAUCCAUUAGAGACAAAGUUAAAAUAAUAGACUAUGGGCUAUCUUAGAUUUGCUUGGGACAAAAAAAUUUUUAAAAAUUAAUAAUAAUAGGGUGCGCCAGGCAAGUUGCCAACCACUAAUAAAAAAAUAUUUUUUCCGAUUUAUUCCACAUUGUAAAAAUUUUGUAUUUUGGUUUAAAAUACAGAUGCUGCUAAUUGAUGAAGUUGCGUCUAAAUUUUUUUUUAGAAAUAAAGGGGUGUCACCGAUUAGUCAGCGGCACCAAUUGUUUAUUAUUGCUUAGUUUCGUGAAUAUUAAUCAUCUUAUCCUAUUUUGGUAUUUAUUUAUUUAUUUUAUAUUAUUUAUGUAAAAAAUACCCUAUAGUAUCUGAACUUGAUUAGAGGUUCAGAAACAAAAACAGCACUAGUAACCCAGAAAUACACCAAUACCCAGAUUAGAGCUGAUCUUGGCCUGGCCAGGCUGAGCUUCAAUAGAAUUUUAGGUCUAUUUUUUAGGCCUAGAUACGACUUGAAAAUGGACCUAAAAUUUUGCCUAAAUUUUCUCGAAUAAAAAUGCUAAUAUCUAAGCCUAGCCCGACCACCCGUAUUAAAAUUGUUUACAUUAUUAUUCUUAUAUAAUACAAAUUUAAAAAUAUAAUACACUAAAAACAUUAAAAUAAAUGUUCCCCAACAAAUUUAAAAUAAAUUUAAAAAAUAUGUACAUACUUAAAUAACACUAAAAUAGGUGUAAUUUAGCAAGCAAAUGCCUAUAAAAUAAUAGCAAAAUUAACAAUAAAACGAGAGUUAUACAAUAUCUAAAUAAUAACAAUAAAAUAGUAACAAUAUAAUAACGAAAUGACAACAAAACAAUGACAAAACAAGAGCAAAACAAUGGCAAAAUAGAAUUAGUUAUUUUUUUGCAAAUUUAGGCCAGGCAAAAAAAAAAAUUACCCAAAACCUAACUCAUUUAGAAAACAAGCCUCAUUUUUUGCUCAAGCUCAUUUUGUGGAUCUGUAUUUUUACUCAAAAUUUCCCACCUUUUAUACGAGCCUUUGUGCUGGCCAAAUGACCCAACUCAUAAUCAGAUCUAAGACCAAGUGAUACUAUAUAUAUAUAUAUAUAAAACAAACCAACUUUAGCAAAUGUAGGUCAGAUAUUUUAGCACAUUAUAAGAAAAUUUGCCUUUUAAGGCAAUGUUUAAAACAUAAAGUUUACUAUUGAAAUUGAAACAUAUUUAAAUAAAAACUAUUGUUUUAUAAAUAAAAGUAUCAUGAAAAUCAAUUAAAAUAUUCAAAAAAGUCAAUUUUUUUUAAAAAAUUACCUGAUUAGGCCUGGCACACGGCCGUGUGGCAUCAACAGUCAUGUUUUUCAGCAUCCGAAAUUCACAAAAACUCGGGUUUUCGGUACGUAGAGGAAGUAAUUUUGAAGUAAGAGCAACGUAAAAUACUCCCGAAGCCUAAAGCGACCAUUCAAUAACAAAAGACCUUCUAGCGGAAAAAGAAUACUCAAUUAUGCAUAGAAAACUAUGUCGAAAGUUUCGACACAAGACCUUCAACAACUCCAGACUUACCAACAACAUCAACAGUGAUUACUCGAGUUAUUGCACUGAGGAUUGUUGCUUUUGAUAUCCUCGCCUAAAAAGAAGCCAAAAGGUCCCUUAAAAGAAGGUUUAAACAAUUUGAGUUGGAAACAACUCAGACAAAAAUGAAUGAACUACCGUAUAACGGAAGUUCUAUGAUUAACGAAAUAGACAAAAUGUGCGGACCAAGCAACAAUUGGAUGAAGAAAAAAAGGAAAAAAGAACAAAAAGAAAUAGAUGAAAAAAAUAAAGAAGAAAAGGAAAAAAAUAGCAAUGGAAAGGAAGAGGGAACGCUUAAUUAAUCUAACCAUCGAUCAAAAUUUCGACAUUAACCAAAAACAUUACCUAAUGCAUACGCAGAGACUCAAAUACUAGACCAGAAAGUAGACAGAUGCUUAGCCAGUUAACCAGCAGGCUCAUUCUUGACUGUGAAAAAAUAGAACGUCGAUAAUGACAAUGUAUCACAAAGAAAAGAGAAAGAAAAAUAAAGAACACACAGAUUUUUAUGUAGAAACCCUUUUGAGAAAAAAAACUACAGGUAAAGGAGAAGAUAAUUCACUAUGUCGAAUUCAAAUGAUUAUAAGAGGAGUAGACUAUGUCUAUUGUAAAACCAUAUUAUAAUAGAAUGAGUGUAGUAAGGUUGAAACAUCUUAUUCUAAUCAAUAUCGAAUAUAUGAAGUGUAAUAAGGUUGAAAAACCUUAUUCUAAAAUAAAAUAAAAGAAGUGUAGUUCUAUAUGGAUUUUACUUUUAUUUUAUUUUACCACAAUAUUUUAUUUUAACAAGGAUUCGGGUCACUCAAUUCUAACAAUCUCCACCUUGACACGAAUUCUCAAUGAAUAAUUUCUUCACCAUGAACUCUCAACGAAUAAGUUCUCCACCUCUUCUAUGAAACCCUUUAAGGGGUAUUUUUCAACAAUGAACACCAACCAAGUCUAAACAAUGCUCAAACUUGGUUAUGGGAAGUGACUUAGUCAUCAUAUCUGCAAGAUUUUCAUGAGUACUAAUUUUGCUCACAAUACCACCACGAGUAAUAAUAUCAUGAACAAAAUGAUACCGAACAUUAAUGUGCUUUGUUCUCUCAUGAAACAGUUGAUCUUUUUAAGCACUCAUUUACAAUGAACAACCUUUUUUCCUUUAGGAAGUUUCACAAGAGCUCAUGUUUUAUUUUUGUUGAGUUAUUCCAUCUCUUUUUGCAUAGUAAAUAUCUACUUUUCUGAGUCUUCACAGCUAACCGCUUCAGAAUAAUUAGAUAGAUCUUCAUUUGCAUCUAUAUCUUUAGCCACAUUUAAAACAUAAGUAACUAGAUCAACAUCGAUAUACUUUUUUGAAGGUUUAAUCUCUCUUCUAGUUCUGUUUUUGAUGAUAGAAUAUUAUGGUAAAGAAGUAAAUCUAUUCUGAAUUUCUAUUCUGGCUUGAGGAGUCAACUUUGUUUUAGAUUCUAGAUUAAUCUGAUGCUCCAUCUACUUUUGCUGUUCUUUAUUAGAAGAGUCUUUAAGAGAUAAGUUAGGUAGCAUAACAGUUUGAUUAAAAACAUCUCUAUUAAUCACAACUUUUCUAUUUUCAAGACACCAUAACUUAUACACUUUUACACCAGUUUUAUAACCAAGAAAAACACAUUUAAUGGAUCUCGGUUCCAAUUUUCCAUUAUCAACAUGAGCAUAUGCAGGACACCUAAAGAUCUUUAAAUCAGAAUAAUCAGCAGGAUUACCAGACCAUACCUCUUGUGGAGUCUUUUUCUCAAUGGCACUUAAUGAAGACCGGUUGAUAAAAAAGCAUGCAGUAGAGGCUGCUUCGACUCAAAAUGACUUUGGUAAGUUGGUAUUCGAUAGCUUACAUCGAACCUUCUCCAUAAUUGUUCUGUUCAUUCAUUCUACAAUGUCGUUUUGCUGUGGAGUAUGACGAACUAUCAAGUAUCUCAUGAUCCCUUUUGACUUGUACAAUUCAUUAAACUCAUCAGAACAGAACUCUAAGCUAUUGUCUGUGCGAAUGUGUUUUAUUUGAUUUCCCCUUUAUUUUUCAAUCAUAGUUUUCCAAGACUUAAAUGUAGAAAACACAUCACUUUUCUACUUUAGGAAAAAUGCCCAAACUUUUCUGGAAAAAUCAUCAAUAAGUGUUAGCAUAUAAUUAGCUCCACAUUUCAAAGGCACACUAGAUGGCCCCACAAAUCAGAAUGAAUAUACUUUAACAUUCCUUUCAUGUUGUGGAUUUCUCUGCUGAAUCAAACUCUCUUUUGCUUCCCAAAAAGGCAAUGCUCACAGAACUUUGGUUUGCAAAUUUCUUACCCAUCAAGAAGUCUUUUUUUGUUCAAUUCUGUCACACUAUUCUCAUUCAUAUGCCCUAGGCGCAUAUGCCAAAGUCUAGUAACAUCAUCAUCUGAUAAGGAAGAGGAAGCGAUAGUUGCAUCACCAAUAAUCGUAAAACCCUACAAAACAUAUAACUUGACAGUCUUUCUUUGUCCUUUCAUCACAAUAAGGGAACCUUUGAAAUUCUUCAAAACUCCUCUUUAUGUUGUAUAUUUGUACCCUUUUGAAUAAAAAGUACUCAACGAAAUCAAAUUUCUCUUCAAAUAUAGAACAUGACGCAUGUCACUAAGUGUUUUGACAACUCUGUCAAACAUCUACUUUUCUUAGUCUGCAGAGCUAACUGCCUCAUCUCUUCAUCCGUCAAUGUCAAAGGCAUUUUAUCUAUCCGUAGCAGAGCAUCCUCUAAGUCCAUCUGCGCAAGAAUUGUCUACAUCUUUAUCUAUCACAACACAAAUCUGGUUUUCUAAUCCAAUAGUGAAAUUUCAUACCUCAAAGAUGUCAUUACCAUGAUUGAGAUGAACAACCUGGAAACUCUGAUACCAAUUUGUGAAAAAAUAGAACGUCGAUAAUGACAAUGUAUCACAAAGAAAAGAGAAAGAAAACUAAAGAACACACAUAUUUUUAUGCGGAAACCCUUUCAAGAAAAAAAGCACGGGUAGAGGAGAAGAUAAUUCACUAUGCCAAAUUCGAAUGAUUACAAGAGAAGUAAACUAUGUCUAUUUAUAGGCUUGUAAAACCAUAUUCUAAUAGAAUGAGUGUAGUAAGGGUGAAACACCUUAUUUUAAUUAAUAUAAAAUAGAUGAAAUGUAAUAAGGUUGAAAAACCUUAUUCUAAAAUAAAAUAAAAGAAGUGUAGUUUUAUAUGGAUUGUACUUUUAUCUUUUUACCAUUGUAUUUUAUUUUAACAAGGAUUCGGGUCACUCAAUUCUAACAAUCUCCACAUUGACACGAAUUAAAUCUAAGUCAGUGGCCCAAGAGUAGAGAUUAAUUAAAAUUAAAUUAGAAGAACUUCUAAAGAUGCAACUUGAACUCCUGACCUCAACCACAUAAACAGAGCACAUAACAACAGAUACAAAGACUUAAUUACUAUAGAAUCCCACAAAUAAACAUUCAAAUUUUUAGGGCGUUACCCAGCAUAUGGAUUAUGUGUAACACCCCUAACCCGUAUCCUUCUCCAGAAUAGGGUUAUAGAGCAUUACCGGAGUUUACAAAUUAAUUUUCAGACAUUUCAUUUCAUCAAGCAUUCAUAUUUAUAACCAAUCAAAAUCAGAACAUUUAUGAGCUAACAUUGACUAAUUUAACUUAUACAAGUCAUUAUAACCAGAAUCAAAUCAUCCAAAAUUACCGAUAGAACCAAUGGAUAAUGUAAUAUAUCUUCAACAAGCUUCCGAUAAUCAUUUCAAAACAUCUAACAAUUAUACAUAGUACCAAUAAUAACUCAAUUCCAAUAAUAAAACACAAAUAUAUAAUAUUCAUUACCAAAUAGAAUUCACUUUAAUUAAAAUUAUACAAAAUAUAGUUCAUACGAACUUAACAGACUAAAUUGCAGAAAUACCAAAAUUCAGGGGCAUUUUGGAAAGUUUCUAUUUUUCUCGAAUUUCUACCCAAUUUUGAUCUAAAUUAAUAUUUCAUUCAAUUUACUAAUUUAAAUAAUAAAACAAUUCAUUUCAUGCAAUUUGGUCACUUUUUUGACAUCUUUACAAAUUUACCCUUAAAGUUUCUCAUUUGUUCAAUUUAGUCCCUAAACCUAAAACAUGUAAAUUGGUCAUUUUUAAUGAAAACUCAUGCUAGUUGAAUAAUCAUAUAUUUUCCUCCUCCAGACUCCAUUCCACAUCCUUAAUGUAUAUAACAUGCUUAUAUGUAACAUUAUCUAUAAUUUCACCAUUUAUUCAUAUAUUCAUUCUAAAUUGUCCACUUGAGUCAUAGUCACUAAAUUAUUUAUAUCUUGAGCUAUAGAACUAAAAAUUGAGAUCCGUUAAUUUUAUAUGAAACUAGACUCACAUAUCUUCUUACCAUAAAAUUUUCAGAAAAUUUAGUUCAGCCAAUAAGUACAGUUUAUUCUUUAAAUUCAUCCCUGUUCUGCUGUCUGACAGUUCCGACCCUUCUUCACUAAAAAUUAAUUAUUUCCUCGUACAGAAUUCGAAUGAUGUUACCGUUUGUUUCUAUUGAAAAUAGACUUAUUAAGUAUUUAAAUAUAUAAAUUUAAGUCCAUAAUUAUUUUUCUCAAAUUUUUUAUGAUUUUCCAAAUUCAGAACAGGGGAACCCAAAUUCAUUCUGACCUUGUCUCACAAAAUUUAUUAUAUCUCAUGAUUUACAAUUCUGUUACUUAUUAUAUCUCAUGAUUUACAAUUCUGUUACUUACACCGUUUCUUCUAUGAGAAACGAGACUCAAUAAGCUUCAAUUUCAUAAUUUUUUUAUCCUCUAAUUCGAUUUUCACAAUUUAUGGUGAUUUUUCAAAUUUAACCUACUGUUGCUGUCAAAAACUAUUUUAAUGCAAGAUAUUGAUUACUAAGUUUAUAACUCCCUUAUUCCCUUUCUCUAUAAUAUUUCCCAUCACUUUCACUUAUUUCCGUUCACUAAUAUAUCAAGAAAAUAAGACUUUAUAUAAGAAAACUCUACUAGAACAUCAUUUCUAUGCUUUUUCAAUAAUAUCAAACUUAAAAACAUAUUGAAAUCUUGAUGUUCUUACCUUGUCCUAUUGGUUUCAAUCUUUAACUUGAUUUUCUCUCUCCUCCAGCUUCUAUUUCUUUAAUCUAACUUGAUAUUCUAGCUCCCCAUAGUCUUCUUGUUAUUUUUCUCUCUUGAUGGCUAUAAAAAUUCUUUUGAUUUCUAGGUGAAAAUAGUAAAUUUUUGGAGGAAGGACCAAAUUGUAAAGAAAGCAAAACUUUCUUUCUUUCUUUCUCUCAUCUUCACGUUGGUGCAUGGGAAGAUGAUGGCUUGGUUCCCUUUUUCAUCUUUUUUUCCACAUAUAUAUAUUUUAAAUAAUAAAAUAAUAAAAUAUCAUUAAAAUAUUAAUAAACUAAUAUUUAUUUAUUUAUUUAAUCUAAAAUAUCUCCAACAUCAUCAUUAUCUUCUAGAUUACUCUCUCUUCUAAAUGACCAUUUUGCCCUUCAUGAUCUUUUAAAAUUCCAUCCUUGAGUCAUCACUUAAUUUGGAAAAAUUAUGAUUUAAUCCCUCAUAAUUUUUCACCUAUUCAAUUAGGUCCCAAUUCAUCCAUUUUCUUUAGUUUCUAGAUUAUUCCACCCUUAAAAUAUUUACACUAUUGGUCCUUCAAACUUUUCAUAUUUACACUUUAACCCCUCAAAUUUUAAGUAUUUACUCUUGGGCAACAAAACUUUUCUCACUUUUGCAAUUUAAUCCUUUCUUGAAUUAAUAUGUCAUAAUAUACUUUCCAAUGUUGACAUAACUCAAAGUUACCAUUUUUAUCACUUUAUUUCCUUAUUUACUAUAUCAGGAAUAUUAUCUUAUUUUUUUACUGUAGUAAAUUUUUUUUUGGGGUAUUACAUUAUGAGUCUAUAUAUACACACAUAUCUACAUCUCACAUGCUUAAGAAAAUAAGAGAAAUGAGACUUUGGGUCUAGAAACAAGCGUUUUCUAAAAUUUGGCCUAUUCCUUUAAGUUUUACAUAAAUAAAGCUAUUCAUGUAAAUUUUUUAAUUUUUCGACAUUUAUUAGUAAACUAGUCAAUGUUUUUAAUCAUGAAUAUAAUUUUGGGUUUAUAUGAAAUAUGCAGGGCAAGAUAGUAAUGUUAUUAUUAUUGUGUAUAUAUAUUAUAUAUGCAUAUCAAUGAUUUUGAGGAUUAAUUCAUGAUUAUAGUAGGUGUUCAUAACCAUUAUUCAUUGUUACGAUGAUUUGGUGCAAACUCAUGUAAACUAUAAUACAGGUUUAAAGAAUUUGGUUUUUCAAGUUUGAUUUUAUAAUAUUUGGUUUUGGCAUUUUAUGGUUCCAAAUAUUUGGUCAAAUUAUGAUAUGAUUUACGAAAUGAAUUGUGAGAUAUACCAACUAUUACAAAAUUUGGGUUAAGAGUUAGAUUUUGGAAUUUCAAAUUUUAAAAUUGAAUAUAAAACAUUAAAAAAAUUGUAUUAUAUCUUCUUUCACACUUCCUUCAAAACUUAAACAAUAAAUAAUAAAUUUUGUAACAGCCCAUUUUCAGUGAAAUCAAAAUAGUGGUUUCGAGACCACAAAUUCGACAUGAAAAUAUUUAUUUUUAUUAAUAUUUUAGUGUCUACAGUAGGUUAGUAGUGUCGUACAAAAAUUUUGUUAAGAAAUUUUGACGUUUGCAUCUUAAUUAAGUAAAAAAAAAGGAUUAAAUCGUAAAAGGUGAAAAAGUGCAGUUCAAUUAGAUAAAGGCAUUAAAUUGCUAUGAAAUUUUAGUUUGAGUGACUUAAAUGAUAAUUAAACCAUUUUAUGAGUUAAUGGACAUAUAUGGACAUCAUUUUAAUGAUGUUAAAGGUUUAUAAUAAAGGUUAAUUUAGUAAAUAAAUACAAAUUAAAUCAAUUAAAAGAAAACUAAAUGUCUAUCUCCUCCAAGUUCUUUCUCCACCGUAAUUUAGAAGAGGAAGAAGCCUUUUUAGGGUUUUUCCAUUCGGCCAUAGUCUAUCCUUGCAUGUAAGUGCAAUUUUGUCCCGUUUUUAAUUAUUUCUAUGUUUUUGAAGUCAUUAUAGCUUAAUCUUGCUAGCCUAGGGGCUAAUACGCAAAAUUGUUAAAAGUAUAGGGUUUUGCCAUGAAUUUCCUAGCUUGAUAUUUGUAGUUUAAUGAAAUAUUAUGAAUUUUUGUUGAUAAAUAAACAACUUUUGCAAAGUGAUUUUUGUUGAAAAUGUCAAAUCGAGACUUGAUUGUAAAAAUAGUAAAAAUGUAUGGUGAAAUUGUGAAAUAAUGAUUUGUAUGAAUUAAUAUGUGUUCAUGAAGAAUUCAGCUAGCUUGGGUUAGGGAUGAAACUGCAUGAAUUUCAAUUUACGAGCAUAAAGACUAAAUUGUAAAAAGUUAAACUGUUAGGGGUACAAUUGUAAGUAUGCAUAAAUGUGAUUUGUGGAUUGAAUUGAAUAAUUGAGUUUGAUUGAAACACUUAAUUGAAUAUUAUUAUUUAUUUAGAUUAAGAUAAAUCUCAACCAGAUUUAAAUUGAGGAAAGGCGAAAGUCACAGAUUAACUUGAUUGUACUCCUACGCACUAGUUGCCAAUGUAAGUUCAUAGUAGUUAAACGUAUAAUUGAUUUUCCAUAUGUAUUUUUACCUUAUAAAUAUGUAAUUAAAUGUUAAUGUAAAUUAUAACCUAUUUGUACUUCAGUACCUCUGAUUGCACAUACGUGCCCUUGUUCGUACUUCCGUAUCCUUGAUUGCACUUAUGUGCCCCUGUUUACAUUUUCGUAAUUUCAAUCAAGUAAAAUAAGAAUUGUGUUCAUUUGAUGCUAAGUUUAAAAGAUUUACUAUGUUCUUACUGAGCUUUGUAAGCUUAUAGGUUUUUGUGUAUCAUUUUGUAUAUUGUUAUUGCUAACCUUUGGACGGAUCGAAUCUUCAGCUCACACUAUCCAUCAUUGUUGGUAGCUCUUAAACUCUUUAGGGUUGUGGCAUGUAUAUGUGGCUAUUUAGUUUGUUUUGGUAUAAUAUGGUGAAUUACUAAACUAGGUGAUUAGGUACUUUUCUAUGUUUGUGAAUAGAUAUCUUUUGGUACAAAUAGAAUGUUAUGAAAGUAAACACUUAUGGAUUGUUUUGGUUUGUUGAUGGAAUAAGUUGUUAUGUUUGGUUUAUAAAUAUGGUAUAUUGGAUGGUGUGCUUUUGGCACUUUGAUGCUUAAUGGAUUGUUAUGGAUAUGAUCAAUUUGGUAUGUCUGAAUUGUGGUUAAUUAUGAAAUGAUUAGGUAUGUUUUAUGUAUGUGUUUGAGUUGUCUAUAUGACGUAUUGGUUAUAUGGAUUAUUAGCUUAUUGUAUGGAUAUUUUUUUGUAGGUUUUGAGCAUGUUUAUGAGUUUUGAUCAUGUGUGCAAAAGUGCCUAAGUUUAUGCUUGUGAAGGAUAAAAGAAAUGACUUGAUUUUAGUCAUUUUCUUGUCCACACAGCCAAAGACAUGGGUGUGUGUCUUAGCCGUGUAUGACAUACGGCCACGUGAAAUGGUCGUGUGUCCCUUAUAGGUUUCAAAGGGUGGUAAGUCAGGCAGUUACACAGCUUGGCACAUGGGCGUGUUAGGCCAUUUUGAUAGUUACACGACUUGACACACGGGUGUGUGGCUUGGCCGUGUAGCCCAAGUCAGAGAGAUACACGGGCACAAACACAGGCUAGGACACGGCCGUGUGUCCCUACUUUUAAUGUCCACACGGCCUGAGACAUGAGUCGUGUGAGUUACACAGCCAUGUGACCCCUGCAGUAUGAAAUUUUCUAACUAUUUCCAUAUUCUUUCAUAUGUCCCCAAUUUAGUCCUGAAUCAUUUUUAAACUAUUUUUAAGGCCUCAAGGGUUCAAAUAAAGGAUGAUAUGUAUGUGUUUGAACAAGUUAUGAUAUGAUUUAUGAAAUGUUUGCAAACAAAUUAUUUAAGUUGCAUAUUUACAUUAAUGCUCUGUAACCUUAUUCUGGAGACGGAUACAAGUUAGGGGUAUUACAAAGUUUACUGAUAAUAUAUCGAUGAAGUUCAAGGGUUUCAAAAUUGGAUUGGUAGGCAAACUAUAGACCACUAGUUCAUGGUUUAACUGGUUCAAUCGAUCCAAUUGAUUCAAUUGAAUAAAUUAUUAAAAAUAAAAAUAUUUAAAAAUAAAUAAAAUCAAUUCAAUUGUCAAUUUGAGUGAGUCAAUUGGUUUAACCAGUUCAUGAGUCAACCAAUUUGACCUUUUAUUCCAAACUAGUAUCUCGAACGAUUCCCAAUCCGAUCGAUUUGACCAGUCAAUCCGAUUUGGUUCUUAAAACAAUAACAAAACUUCAUGUGUUUAAUUUAAUACAUUAUAAAUAUGCUAAAUUUUCAUUUAUAUGAUAAUUUUCACAAUUUUAAUUUAUAAACCCUAGACUUUUAAUUAAAAUCUAAGUAAGUACAAAAAAAUUUAUAUGAUUGAACUAAUUAGGCCACCAGUUUGCUAGUCCAAUCGGUUUAAUCAGUUUGACCGAUACGAUCGGUUCGACCAAUCUACCUGAUUCUAUUAAAUAAAUCAUUAAAAAAUCAUAAAUAUAAAAAUAUAAAAAAUAUUAUUUUAGUUCAACCGGUUCAACUGCAUAACCAAUCGGUUAGUAUUGAUUCCUGGGACAGCUCGUUUAAUGACUUUCGUCAAACAAGUACUUUGGCUGAUUCCCAAUUCGAUUGGCCAAACUAAUCUUGUUCAAACAAUAAUGUUCAAAAUCCUCCUAAAUAAUUAAAUCUUAAAGAAAAAACAUUUUUAAAACUUAAAAUUAGUUGAAAUCCAAAUCAAUAAAUUUAAAUCAAUUCAAAAUUUUAAAUUUCAAAUAUUUUUAUUACCAAAUAAAAUAUUUAAAAAUAAUGAAAUCAUAAAUUUCGAACUUAGAAAUUGAUAUUUCAAUUCUCAAACAAUAGCUAAUAGUUUGGACGGGUUUGCAGCACUCACAAAAUCAUUUAAUACUUAGUAACACAAGAAUGCACCUUAAUUGCUCUUUUUUUUUUUUAACCAUGUUUUUGGUUGUUUACAAAUAAUUUUGCAUAAAGAAAAAAAAAUCAUAUUAUAGCAUAACCAAUAGUAUUAUUCUAAAUUAGAAAAUCUUAUUAUAAGUGCAUACGUGUAAAAAUUACAAAUUUAGAAUAUAGAUAUAUGUUUAAAAAUAUCAUUUAAUAAUAAAUAAUGAAACUUAUGGUUUGAAACUAAUUAAUCAUAACAACACAUGAAAUAUAUAUGAUACUAAAAUUAAAAAAUAAAUUAAAUUAUGAGUAAAAUGAAAUUAACCACAUACAUACAUCAGAUAAAUCAUAAUUAAUUUUAAAUUAAUUACACAUUGAACUGGAAAAGAAAAACCGUUCAUAUCCUUUUUCUUUUAGUUUUCUUUUCCAUUUUGAUUGAAAAAAAAAUUUAUUCUCAUCCUAGUUAGACAUCUAAAUUGGCAUUUAAAACUCAUUUAGACCGCCACGUAGAAUUGCUUUUAGGGAGGUAACGGAGCUUAACGGCAGAAUGAGUACUACUUCGUAACAAAACGAUAACAUAAGUAACUAGAAUGUAACAUUUCAAACAUAAGUGACUAAAAUGUAAUAUGAGGAAAACAAAAGUGACUAUUUUUGUCGUUUAUCGUAUUAUUAAUUUUUUAUUUAAAAUUUAAUUUAAUUAGAAUUAAAUUAAAAUAUAAUUUUUUUAGCAAAAUUUGAUUAAUAACUUAUCCCUACUAAUUAUUUGAUUGUUAAAAUUCAAACUAUUUAUGCAAAGUUUUUAUUUUUAUCCUAAUAAUUAUUUUUGAUGUGUGUAGUUAACGUUGAAAACCUUAAUUUUCCCUGUUAAUUACUUUACUAUGAUUUCAGUCGUGAAUAUGUUAUUUUGAAUUUUACGUCAUCAGUCAAUCAGACUUUAUAAUUUAGUUGUCAAAAUUCAAAUUAUUUAUACCAAGUUUAUAUUUUAAAACACACAUAAGUUAUUACUUCUUGAUCAUAGGUCAGAUUGAUGUAAAAUUUUAAGUUCGAGCUCGGCUCAGAAAAUGAGUUUAAAAUUUUACUCAAGCCCAACCUAAAUUAAUAAUGCUAAAAUUGAGCUCGACCGGGUCUUCCCAUAUUGAUUUUUUUUAGAUUUUUUAUAUAAAAACAAAUUUUAAAAAUAUAAUAUAUCAAAUGUAAACACCCUAUACCUGACCUAGACAUUACGGUCAAAUCAUGGAGAUUACAUCUAACGAAUGGAAAAUUCAAUUGAACAACUCUUUUUUGAAAACACAAUGAUUCUCCUAAAUCGUAGCUUAAUUGUGUUACUAACAUCAAAAGCAAUUUACAUGAAAACAUUUGCGUGCUAACAAAAAAAAAACAUUUUGAGAGAAUUUCAGUUAAUCUUACAGUGAAAAACCUUAUAGUUUUUUAUAUAUAAAAUCGUGGUUCAUUUUUAAUUAUCAUAGGUUAAGCGUUUUUAAUGACUAAAGCCUUUGCUUAGUAAAUAUCAAAAUAGUCCUAACUAAACAAAAAUAAAAAUGUUCAAAACGAAAUAAAAACCCAAAACAGUCAAAAAAAUGUCCAUAAUAACAAAUAAAAAGUCCAAAGUGUUUAAACUAAAAUGUGUAAUUCGAGCUCCAGAGUCGCCAUCUAAUCCUAAGUCGAAAGAUCACCUGAAACAAAGAAAAACAUAGGCGUGGGCUUUAAGCCCAAUGUGUGAUUUGGCCCAUAAUUUCAAUAAUUUCAAUACAAGCAAUCAUCAAUUUGUUUCAUAGCAUAUCAGGCUUCAUAACUAGACAUAUUUUAUCAUAUCAUAUCAUAUCAUAUCAUAUCAUAUCAUAUCAUAUCAUAUCAUGUCCUACUCCCAUCCGCUACAUAUUGUCUCCGUCCAGCCAAUCAUACCAUAUAAGACUACUAGAGUCCAUCUAUUUAGUCACUUCAAUAGGUAGCAAUGUGCCACUUAUAUAAUUGCAGUUGAGCUGCUAUACAUAAAUUUGUGGUCUAGCCGCCACAAUUAUAGUAUAAACUAUCAUAUAAUGUAACACCCCAAACUCGGCCUAGACGUUAUGGUCAAAUCUGGCGUGUCACAUUGAAGUGUCUUUCGAAAAGUAGACUUGUUGGUAACAAUUCGUUUCUAAGUUUAAAACCCCUUUAUUAGUGUUUAACAAAACAUCUAGUCAAACGUUUACCUUGUUAUCUACUUUAGUUAUAAUGGGUUGAUUUUAAAUCGCGGCAACUUUUGAAAACUCUGAUCAUUUAAAUUUAGUAUCUUUGAAAAUAGUAAUUAUUUUGAAAAUUCGUCUUCUCUUAACCUAGUAGUUUAAGGUAAAUAAGCAAAAGCCCAAUUAGAAAUUCAAACAAACUUAAAGGCCUUAUUACAAAAACCAACCCAACAUAUAAUUUAAAUUUAAAAUAAAAGCAACUGUAAACAGCAGCAGUUGUGUGGCCACCUCCGAGUCCCUCGCAGCACUGAAUCGCCUAUAGCUGAGGAUUACCUGCACAGUUAAAAGGAGAGAGUGAGUUUACAAAACUCAGUGUGUAAUCCUCUACCAAACAGUCAGUAUACAACAUGCAGUAACAAACUGAGCUUGAGCCCUAUUCAGUAACAGUACAGUGAGGGCCUUAGCCAAAUACAGUAACAGUGUGGGCCUUAGCCCAAUACUGUAUCAGUACAAUGUAAUAAUACAAAUCAUCCCAAUCCAGUCAACAUACCACUCCGUACCACCAACACACCAUGUGGGGAUAAAAUUGACCCACCCAGCCAACACACCAAUAUCGCAGUAAAAUUGCCAGAAGUAGCAUCGCAGCAAAGCUGCUAGUAACAGUAUUGAAGCAAAGCUGCCAGUAACAGUAUCGCAGCAAAGUUGCCAGUAACAGUAUACUCCCUCCAUUGCAGUAUCCCAACCCCAUGCAAUAUGUCAUGUCAUAAAUCAUACGUGUAUGCAAAAUAUCGUAUUCAAUCAUAGUCAUACAUAUCAUAUAGCAAAUCGGUCAUACAUACAUAAGGCCAUAACAGUCAUUUUGACUCUUAGGGGUAUAACAGUCAUUUUACCCUAUGGGGGUAUUUCGAUCAUUGUACCCUAUGGGGGUAUUUCAGACAUUUUACCCUAUGGGGUAUUUUAGUCAUUUUACCCUAUAGGGGUAUUUCGAUCAUUUACCCAGAAAUGGCAAGUUGGGCUUAACACUCGAGCGAUCGCACGCCUGUGUGGUCUCAAACGUCGUAUUUAUGGCUUUUUGGUUUCUGCCGUUCUACAGUUACAGUAGGGUGUUUACACACAUAUUUAUGAGAAGAGCGCAAAUCUCCACGUACACCAACCUAUAUUCAAACAUAACCUAAGUCAGUCCUUUAAACACUAGGGUAAAACACCCUCUUAUUAACAAUUAAUCCAAAACACCAUCCUUACCUUGCUUGAAAGAGGGCGACUUUACUCCUCCAAGACCGCCAACCAAAAGUGGUCACACACUUAUCGAUUAUCUGCACCACAGACAGUGAUCUUAAUAACUAAGUUAGGCUAUAUAAGUGGCCAAGAAGGGUAUUCGGUUUUAAGAAAAAGAAUAGAAGAGAAUUGAUUUAAACAAAAAGUGACAAGUAUCAAUACUUUACCGAUAAUCAAAAACACUUACAGCACUGGGACAGCAAAAGCAACGAGGAGAAGAUCGGCGCAGAGAGUGAUAGAACAGAAGGGUGAUAUUCGACUGAACCACACUCAAUAAAAGAAGAUAGCUCAUGGUCAAAAGGAAAAUAAUGGAAGGUAGAAAUCAAAAACAGAAAGAGAAAAAUAUUCGGUUAAAGAAGAAAAGAAAAAGAGAAAGGAGAUUCGACCAACAGAGAAGAGAAGAGGGGAAAAGAGAAUGAAAGAUUCGGCAACAAGAGGAGAGGGAAAGAGAGAAGAGCAUUCGGCAAGCAGAGAAUAUGAGAAGGAAAAAGUAGAAAAGGAAAGCGAACAAACCCGAAAGGUAUUUUAAAACUUGGCAAAAUUCAGUACCAAUAACUAAUAGAUGAAACACGAAACUGACCGAAACCAAAAUAGACAGAAGAAAAACAACCUCAAACAUCGAUUACCUCAAUGGCUAAUGACCAAAUUCGGCACAAGCAUACCCCUAGCCGAAUUCUCAAGCUAGAGUUUCCCCAAACGGCACAACUCUCCUCUCAAAUAACUCCUUGAUUUUCUCCUCGUAUCUAUCCCCUUAUCCCUCAUUGAAUCACUCCACUGAUUUCUCCUCAACUCCUCCAACAAGCCAUUCAAAUUCCAUUCAAACUCCCUUUAGCUGUGUUUCAGUCCAACUCCGCUACCUACACAGCUCAAGCAGCAAAAUAAACACUCCAUUGCAUAACUCAGGACUUGAACCUCAGACCUCACAGUCACACAACACGCCACAUUGCCACCAGACUACAAGCUCUUUUUGUGUCAUAAAACAAACACUAAUAUUUAUAAGGACUAAAUGCCAAUGUCCAGAUUCAUUUAAGAGUAAAACUAAAAAUUCUGCAAAAACCAAGACUUGAACCCAAGCUUCUCAAACACUCCCAUACACACCCAAAUCACUUAGCCAUUAAAGCAAACAAGCAAUUUGCGUCAAAUUAUGCAAAAAUCAAAGACUUAGAUUUUUGGGGCGUUACAUAUAACACUUCUUCCAUUAUAUCAUAACCCACCUCGAAACACAAACAAAUCAUAAUCGUAUAACAUACUUAAAUAUAUAUAUAUAUAUCAUAACUCAAUGGCAUGCAUACUUACAUAUUGUCAUACAAAUCCUUACAUAGCACAUGGUUAAAUGGAACAUUUCCUACUUAACAUACCUCCUAAACUUAUCUGUAUACUUUUACGUACUGAUAUUUAGGCUUUUCUGGCCCCAUACGAUGCCUACGGACCCAGAUUUUGAGUCCCUCAAACUACCCCUAAUUGGGCCCUAAAAUUGGGCAAAAAGGCCUACGCAACCCAAAAAGCUAGCUCGUGUGGUCUAUACGGCCUACCACACGAUCUGCAAAGUUUUACACGGACGUGUGCUCCACACAACCAAGCCACAUAGGCUGUAAGAUUUCAUAUGGCCAUGUGGUGCACAAGAUUUACCACACGGCCUAGCCUAUGAUUAUGUGGCACUAGCCAAUUUCGAUGAACAGCCCCUAUUUUACGAAUUUAACGAGUUUCAAUUCAAUUUUUUGGUUAUUUUCACACACCUGAUUACGUAGUCAACUAACUUCAAUAACGGGAACUCACAAACCUACAAUUACGCAACAGUCGUACCAACAAUAUGUCAAAAAACAUCACCUUAAUACAACAAAAUUAUAGCCCUUAAAAUGACAUUUGAGUCCUUACCACUUGGAAAAUAGCGACUAAAAUAGAACUUAAUCCAUUGAAGGGAUUGGAUUAUCGGUUCCUUUGCCUAAUCAACACAAGAACAUUUAUCACCUUAAGCAAAAAAAAAAUUGAAUCAAAAUAACAGAAAAAAAAGGUACAAGAGGGAGAGGGAACAAACGGUUCUAGGAAAAGAGGAAUAUAAGGAUUUGAUAGACUUAAAAUAAAAUAAAAUAAAAUAAAAAUAGCAAGUUUUAAUUAAUCCAAACCCCACACUUCAGAUUUAAUAGAGUUUAACUAAACUUUAACACCUACGAGAAGCCCAAGCAAAAAGUAAAAUGUAAUCAAACACUUAACCAUUAAACCACUAAACCCAUCAUUAUUAUAACCCAACAAAGAAAUUGAUUUAAGCCCUAAGGUUCAAACUUAACUUAAAGUAAAAAUAAUAAUAAUAGAAAAUCUCAAAACUAGAUAAUUGAACUCAGGACCUAAAACAAACUUUUAAGACAGUUAACCAACGCUCCAAAUCAAAUUACUUAACCAACCUACACAUUCAAAAACCCAAAAUUUGGGGCAUUACAUCAAAUGUACAUAUAUUUAAUUACGUAAUGAUAUUUAAGCUUUUCUGGCCCUAUACGAUACCUACGGACCUAGAUUUCAAGUCCCUCAAAUUGCCUAAAAUUGGGCAAAAAGGUCCAUGCAGCCCAAAAAGCUAACUCAUAAGGUCCAUACGGCCUACCACAUGGUCUGGAAGAUUUUACACGGACGUGUGCUCCACGCCAAGCCACAUGGGCUGCAAGGUUUCACACGGCCAUGUGGUGCACAUGGUUUACCACACGGCCUGACAUAUGAUCAUGUGGCGCUAGCCAAUUUCGAGGAACAGCCUCUAUUUUGCAAAUUUAACGAGUUUCGAUUCAAUUUUUUGGUUGUUUUCACACACCUGAUUACGUAGUCAACUAACUUCAAUAACGGGAACUCACAAACCUACAAUUACGCAACAAUCAUACCAACAAUAUGUCAAAAAACAUCACCUUAAUACAACAAAAUUAUAGCCCCCAAAAUGACAUUUGAGUCCUUACCACUUGGAAAAUAGCGACUAAAAUAAAACCUAAUCCAUUGAAGGGAUUGGAUUAUCGGUUCCUUUGCCUAAUCAACACAAGAACAUUUAUCACCUUAAGCAAAGAACAAUUGAAUCAAAAUAACAGAAAAAAAAAGGUGCAAGAGGGAGAGGGAACAAACGGUUCUAGGAAAAUAGGAAUAGAAGGAUUUGAUAGACCUAAAUUAAAAAAAAUAAAAUAAAAAUAACAAGUCUUAAUUAAUCCAAACCCCACACUUCAGAUUUAAUAGAGUUUAACUAAACUUUAACACCCACGAGAAGCCCAAGCAAAAAGUAAAAUGUAAUCAAACACUUAACCAUUAAACCACUAAACUCAUCAUUAUUAUAACCAAACAAAGAAAUUGAUUUAAGCCCUAAGGUUCAAACUUAACUUAAAGUAAAAUAAUAAUAAUAAUAGGAAACCUCAAAACUAGAUAAUUGAACUCAGAACCUAAAACAAACUUUUAAGACAUUUAAUCAACAUACCAAAUCAAAUUACUUAACCAACCUACACAUUCAAAAACCCAAAAUUUGGGGCAUUACAUCAAAAGUACUAAAAAUAUUAAAAUAAAUGUUUCCCAACAAAUUGAGAAUACAUUGAAAAAGUCUUUAUACUUAAAUAACAUUAAAAAAUAACAUUGAGAUAGUUGCAACUUAGCAAGUAAGUUCCUCCAAAAUAGUAGCAAAAUUAACAAUAAAACAAAAAUUAUACAACAUUCAAAUAAUAACAACAAAAUAGUAGUAAUAAAAUAGUAAAAUGACAACAAAACAACAAUGAAAUGGCAACAAAACAAUAUAUUUGGUCAGGUCAGACUUAGAUCAAAAUUUAUUAAAUAUAUAAUUUUUUAUUAUAUGAUAUAAUUAGUGACUCAAUAGUUACUUAUGAAAACGCCCAAUUGAAUCUAAUUCACAACCUCUUCCAAUUUUUCAUUCCCAGAAAAUUGAAUUUUGUUUCUAAAUUCCCCCUCAAAAUCAUAAUGAUAGAUUUUUUUUUCAUAAUAACUUUUUUUUUUAGCUCCUCUUCAAAUUACUUAAAAAAUGGAUGGAAAAAUUAAUGUUGGUUAAUUUUGUUCAUAUAGUACCUACGUAUAUAUCACGUAAGCAAUUAAUUAAUAUUUUAAGUUAAAAAUAUUAAAAUAUGUUUUUUAUGUUUUAUAAUUUUUAAUACUUUUUUAUUUUUUUAAUAUAUAAUAAAAUAAUUAAUUGCUAACGUGGCAUUCAUGUGGCAAUCUACGUGUAUGUCAUGUCAGCAAAGUUAAUAAAAUGUUUUUUUUUCAUCUAUUUUAGUGUGAUUUGAUAAACAAUACAAAUUUAUUAACUAAAAAUAUGAAAAUCAAAAUGAAAAUGAAAAUAAUUUUUUGUUUAGGUUAUUGAAUCAAAUAAAUAAAUUAUAUAUAUAGACAUAUAUACACACACAUUUGCAUAUAGUACUAUGUGUUAUUUAGCUGUUAGUGGAACAUGUCUCAAAAUUAGUAGUGGGCAGUUUAUGGUUUACAGAUAAACAUGCAACAUCUAUGUUUCUACAUUGCUACAAAAUAACACGAUAAUGAAACCAAAAUUAACGUUGUACACAAAUGACGAAAUAAUAUGGAAAAGUAACUGUGACUUGAUGAAAUAAUAACAACAUAAUAAUACACAAACAUUUUGAAAUUUAUACCUACAAGCUCUCUAUUAAAAGUUUAAUUGUAUUUUAUUUUUAUUUAAAAAUGAGUAAAUUAAUCUCCAUACGUUAAAUUAAAGAGUAACAUGAUUAUUCUAUUAAAAAUUUUAUCUAUUUCUAUUAUUAAAAACUAGUCUCAGUACGUCAGCAUGAGAAAUAUAUGACAUGCCAAAUGUCACAAUUUGAUUAUUUUGUCAACUAUGUCAAUUUUAACAGUACAAAUGGAUAAUUUUUUUAAUAAACAUUAUCAAUUUACUCUUUAAUCUGACAUAUAAGGACUACUUUACCCUUUUAUUUUUAAGUAGAGAGGACAAAAUACAAUUUGACUCUUAAUACAGAAAUCUUCAUAGUACUUUUACUCUAUAAAUUAUAUAUUAACGUGUAAAUAUUUCAUAUAAAUAUGAAAAAUAGGAUACACAUACAUGAAUUGUUAGAUCUAAUAAUAAAAGCAAGUAGUUUAAAAAGGUAUUUAUUUUCCUUUCCAUUUUAAGUAAUUUUUUGUGUUUCCAAAUGAUUGAUGCAUAUCUACUAAUAAUAAUCUAUGAUUAACAUGUUAAGGUAUAUCUAAGAUACGAGUGUCAUAUAUAAAUACCUGAAAAAGAAAAAGAAAGUAAGCUGGGAUCAUUCACCAAUUUUCUUUUAUGUAAGUGAACAGAACAAACAGAGCAGUAGUACAUGUCCGUCAGCCAUUUCCUAGUGCAUGAAUCCGGAGAUGAUAAUCUAGAAUCACAUAAAUAUAAAGAAUUCACUUCUUUUUCUGCAAUUUAUUUAUACAUUUGGAAAUCCAAUUUCAUCUUCUCAAAUGAUAACUUAAAAAUGGUAAAGAGUCAAUAGGGUUAGUUGCGCAAACAAAUGUACUCGCAUGGGAAUCAAGUUCCACAAUUACAAUGAAAGACCUUCCCGUUGAAAGCAAUUUCAAAAGAAACCAUCCUUAGAAUUCAAUGAAUCAUCAAUAUCAUAGUAAGGAAACAUUAUUGUUGCAUGAACUCAAGAUUACCGGAGCCACUGAUUUCAUAUUGCAAAAUCCACAGACUUCAAAUCCUUAUUCUUUCUAUUCCUGUCUCUGAGGUAUCUAUUCUUUUCUUAUUAUAAUACAUUGUUUUGACUAUAUCACACUAUGUAUCAUUUAAUAAUUGAAUAGAUCCCUAUCUUUGAUUUAAAUCGAAUUUGUAAUGGAGGAAUUUCAAAUAUAUUUAGAACUAGAUAGAUCCCGCUGACACGAUUUCCUAUGCCUACUUAUUUGUCGGGAGUAUAUUUAUGCACUUGCUCAUGAGCUUAGUUUAAAAAAAUCGAUGAUUUUUUUUUAAAUCAGGGUUAUGGUAAUAAAUUCAGUUCACUAAUUGUGAAACAUUUAAUUCUUCAAAUAGAUCAACAAAAUCAUUUGAUUAGUUCUGCUAAUGAUUCCAACCAAAAUCUGAUUUUUGGGCACAACAAUUAUUUGUAUUCUCAAAUGAUAGCUGUAGGAUUUGUAGUCCCACUUAUGGGGUCAAAUCCAUACAUUUUGAGAAGAAAUAUUUGAAUAUAAAUCUCAUCGAUCUCAUAAGUAUCAUACCAAAUCCUAUCAAUCGAAUUAUUUUUUUUGAGAAAUACGAGACAUCUACGUCAUACAAGUAAAGAGAUCUAUUCAUUGAUAAGAAAAAUAAAAAACGUGAGCGGUGAUUGGAUUGGUGAGAAAAUAGAAUCAUGGGUUGCGAAUAAUGAUUCAAUUGAUGAUAAAGAAAGAGAAUUCUUGGUUGAGUUCUCCACCUUAACGAAAGAAAAAAAGAUUGAUCAAAUUCUAUUGAGUCUGACUCAUAGUGAUCAUUUAUCAAAGAAUGACUCUGGUUAUCAAAAGAUUGAACAACCGAGACCAAUUUACUUAUGAUACUUAGUUGACAUUCAUAAAAAGUAUCUAAUGAAUUAUGAGUUCAAUACAUCACGUUUAGCAGAAAGGCGGAUAUUCCUUGCUCAUUAUUAGGCAAUCACUUAUUUACAAACUUUAUGUGGGGCUAAUUGUUUUCAUUUACUGUCUUGUGGAAAACCCUUUUCGCUUCGCUUAGCCCUAUCUCCCUCUAGGGGUAUUUUAGUGAUAGGUUCUAUAGGAACCAGACGAUCCUAUUUGGUCAAAUACCUAAUGACAAACUCCUAUGUUCCUUUCAAUACAACAUUUCUUAACAAGUUCCUAGAUAACAAGCUUAAAGGUUUUCUUAUUGAUGAUAUCGAUAUUGAUGCUAGUGACAUUAUUGAUCGUGACCUUGAUACGGAGCUGGAGCUUCUAACUAUAAUGAAUACGUUAACUAUGGAUAUGAUGUUGGAAAUAGACUGAUUUUAUAUCACCCUUCAAUUCAAAUAACUAAAAGCAAUGUCUCCUUGCAUAAUAUGGAUUCCAAACAUUCAUGAUCUAGAUGUGAAUGAGGCGAAUUACUUAUCCCUCGAUUUAUUAGUGAACUAUCUCUCCAAAGAUUGUGAAAGAUGUUCCACUAGAAAUAUUCUUGUUAUUACUUCAACUCAUAUUCCCCAAAAAGUGGAUCCUACUCUAAUAGCCCCGAAUAAAUUAAGGCAAAGAGAGACGAUUUCGCGAGACUUAGCUUGGCAAACAAGUUGAUUAUUCGAGAUGUUCUGUCAUUGUUAUUGGCCCUUCACUUUUAUUACAUCGCUGUGGAUUGCCUCACGAAAUAGAAAUAGAGCUUUUCCAGACAUUUGUAAUUCGCGGUCUAAUUAGACAACAUCUUGCUCCGAACAUAAGAGUUGCUAAGAGUAAAAUUUGGGAAAAAAGAUCGAUUGUAUGGGAAAUACUGCAAGAAGUUAUGUGGAGACAUCAUGUAUUGCUGAAUAGAGUGCUUACUUUGCAUAGAUUAGGUAUACAAGCAUUCCAACCUAUUUUAGUGGAAGGAUGCGCUAUUUGUUUACACCCAUUAGUUUGUAAGGGAUUUAAUGCAGACUUUGCUGGGGAUCAAAAUGACAUUUCAUAUACCUUUAUCUUUAGAGGAACUACUAAGUACUUAUCAUUAAAAGGAACUACAAACAAUCAAUGUAUAAUGCAUAACACUAUAAGUUUAUGUACUCAUAUUACCAUCUUUAAAAAAACUCAAAUAAAGGAAAAAAAUAAAUUGACAAUAAUCACAGCAUUGGAAAAAAUUAAAAAAAAUUCAGAGAUGCAUCGCUUUAAUCAAUUUGCUAAUAUUUACAUCUUAGCUUUGCCAUCAUUAGAAGCCCUAAGAGAUUCUUUACAUCGUAUGCACAAAAAGUCAAGUAUUAAUGGCCUACCUUUCUCUACAUUUUAAAGUCCAAUUUUGCAAACACUCUCCUAACGAGGUUCUUUGAGUUCCCAAUAGAUUUGGUAGUGCCUUUACUUGAUCGGUCUCAUUUAUAUGUCAAAACAUGAUUAGAGACAAAACUAAAACCAUCACCACUUUCAGUGAAAACUGAAAACAUGGUAAAAUAAAAUCACCAAAAGAACAAGCGCACUGAAACUACAACCAUAACAGUUUUUUUUUUUAAACAAUGGAGUAAAACUAAAAACUAAACAAAAUUGUUGAAACAGUGGUGACCGGUAAGUAGCCCAGAGGUGGGUGUGGCUGCCGGCAAGACCAAGUUAUUAACUUUAAAUUAAGAAAAAGUAAGGUGGUAGUUGUAGGCCAUACAGUUUUAUUUGCUUUCGGUGGUGAAGCUCUGAUUAUUCAAUUCAUAAAUUAAUUGAAAAAAAAAAAGGAACAAAUUUGCAGCAAAGUCAAGAAAGUACAAGGAAAAAGAGAAUAGUAUGGUUAGCCCCACUUCACUUUAAAUUAAGAAAAAUAAAGGUAGUAGUCGUAGGCCUUUGCGCCUCCACUACAUAGUGGACUUUCUUUUAAGUGUUGACUGAUGAUUCCAUUCAUAAAUGAAUUGAGAAACGAAAUCACUUGAAACUUGCAAUAAAGUGAAUAAAGUAGAAGAAAAAGAAUAUUGAUAUAUCAACUUAUCACCAUUUUUAUGAUUAUUAUUUCUUUAGAUAUAAGUCUUCUAAACAAUAUAAUCUUUAUUAUAAAUAUGACAUUACAAAUUCAAUAAAUAAAAGUAAACUUGAUAUUAAAAGUUUUAUUUUACUUUUAUCAAUCAACCCAUUUACUCUAUUUCCUAAAUUUUAGAUUUUAUUUUAUGAUAUAUAUAGUCAAAAUUCAAAAAUAACAUAAAAUUUCAUGGAAUCUAGUUUUUCCAGAUUAGCAACCAUUUAUACUAUUCCUAGCUCAGGAAAUUGGUUCUUCAUUUACAAGUUGAGUCUCAAAAUCAAAGUCCUCCACCUAAUGUAUAUUAUGUUGAUGUGAUAUGUCUCUAAAUUAUUGAGUGGAAAUUUUAUCAUGGAUUCAAUCAUUUUCAAUGCUACAAAAUGACAUAAUAGCAAAACCAAAAACUUAUCCUUAAAACAAAACCAAAACCUUAACUCAAAUAUUACAUAUGAAAUAAAUAAUUAAAACAUAAGGUGUGAAAUCAGGUUAUGAGAAAUAAGAAGAGCAUAAUGAAGAAAACUGUCUCAAAAUUUAUAUUAUACAAGUUAUUAACAAAUCAAAAUUUAUAUAAAUAUAUAAGUUUUAUAUAAUUCCCUGUUGGGUCGAGAAUGCAUUAUUAUCUCUAAUUCCCUAUUAAGUCAAGAAUAGUUCUCAAACACCCUAUUGAGUCAAGAACACAAUGUUAUCUCUAAUUCCCUCUUGGGUCAAGAACAUAUCAUUAGCUCCAAUUCUCAGUUGGGUCAUGAGAGUGUAUUGUUGUGGUAAUACACGUUUUCGAACAUGAAAUCAGCUAAUAAAGGUUAAGGUAUAAAGAUCGUAGUUGCUUGUUUGAAACAUGGUUAAUUAAUGUAGAUACAUUGAGGGUGCUUAUAAAUGAUAAUAAAGAAAAUAUAGUGCAUGAGGGUGGACUAUGAUAACAAAAUGCAUUUGUAAAAUGGUAAUAAUACUAAAUAAAAACAAUAAAUAAUUUACUUAAUAAAAGAUAAAGAUAUCCCAUAAAAGAAUAAGCAAUCAUUCAUUUGGAUGCCAACCAGCUUUGCAAUCAAUCGUAUAAAUUAUUCAUGUAACAAGUGGAGAUAGAUUAGGAUCGUUUAGCUCGAAGGCAUCUAAAGAUUACUGUUCAACUUCAUUUAAGUUAAUUAGUCAUUGUGAAUAAUUAGAUGAGUUUGGCAUGUACAUAGAUUUAAAAUAGAUGUUGGAGUCAUUUGAUGAUGUGGUAUCUAUAAUGUUGAGAAAUUGUAGUCUAGGUAUGUAUAUAUGUAUGUAAUGGUACUUAUAUAGGGUUAAGAUCGUAUGCACUGAUCUUUAUACAAUGUUUAUUACAAGUUUCACGUGUUUUUUGCGUGCCAAGUAAACUAAUUUUGAUGAUUGAAUUUGGAAAGGCUAUUAUUAUGUUGGUGGUCAUAUUGUUGGAUGUGUUUUGACAAGCAUAAAUGGUGUUUGGGACAUGAAUUUUGAGUCCUAUAAGUCUUGAAAAUGAAUUGGUAUAUGUUAUCAAAUCAGGUGAAAUCAGGUGAUUUUAGGGAUUGUUCCAACAAACUUAUUUUGAUAUAAGAGAUCAGAUGUAUCGGUACAACUAAGUCAAUCUCCAAAAUUGAACGAUAACAGGAACUUGUAGCGAUACAACUAGGUCAAUCAAUGUCUCCUCCCUUGUUUUAAGUCAUUUUGAUCCUUGGACACCCUGACUUGGUCCUAAACAACUUUGGUCACCUAGAACUCAUAUUAAAAUGUUCUAAAUGAAUUUAAAUGACUUAUAAACAUUUUUAAUCAAGGCAAAUAGUUUUCUAUGAAUGAGUAAAUGUUUGUGUACAAGUUGAUUUUAGAGUAUGUGCUUUUCUCUCUUUACCUACAUUUAGAGACAGAUUAGUAAAAAUAAACAAGACAGAGGAUAUAUGCCAUGUCCACUGCAAACUACUUCGUAGCUAUUACAAUGAAGAAUAUUUUGCCUUUCAUCCAACUCAAGCAACAUGCAGCAUAAAUUUUCCCUAUACAUAAACAAAACAUACCAUAAAUCAUUUUGCAUAAGCACUAUCCGUUGGUCGAAUGCUGACCAGUCAAGCCCUACCAACUUUUAAUUUGAGUAUUUUUUAAGUAGAUAUGUUUGAGUUAUUUAUAUUUUAUAUAAUUUUUCUCUAUUACAUAAACAAAACAUACCAUAAAUCAUUUUGCAUAAGCACUAUCCGUUGGUCGAGUGUUGACCAGUCAAGCCCUACCAACUUUUAAUUUGAGUAUUUUUUUAAGUAGAUAUGUUUGAAUUAUUUAUAUUUUAUAUAAUUUAUAUUAUUUAUAUUUAGGCGAGUAUUGAUUCACAUGUAUAAUUUAUAUUUUUUUUACUUGACAAGGAACCUUAAAAAAUUGUUAUAUAUUUUUAAUUUUAAUAUUUUACGAUAUCUUUAUAAAAUAUUUGUUAACCUCUGACCCUACUUAUGAAAUCUAAAAUUUUUAUUGAUAGUGUACCAAAUAUUAUUUCUUUAUAUAUUAUAAAAGUAAAAUUUCAUAAAUUUAAGAAAAUCAAAAUUUUAUAUAAUUUUUAAAAAUUCAUUUUGAAUUUGAAAUUAAAACUUUUAAUAUUUAUUUUAAAAUUUUGAUAUAAUAUUUUUAAUUUUUAUAAUUAACAUUGUAGAGAAAUAAAUCUUAGUAAACGUAUUUUUUGAAUUUCUACUCCAAAAAUGUGUCAAUUUUUUUAAAGAAUUAUUUAAAACUUGAUUCAAUUCGAAAAAAUUGAAAAAGAAGAUAAUUUGAAAUAAUUUGACUAAUUGAUUGGUGUAAGCCUAAGUUUGAAAUAAUAUUUUUUAUUAGCAAAAGUUGUAAAUUUAUUUUAGUUCAUUUUAUUACAAUUUAUUUAUAUAUCUUUAAAUAAAAAUAAACAAUUAAAGAAUAAAAAAAUAAAUCAAUAAAAUAAUUUAUUUUAAUACACACCUUAAUGUUAAUGGUAAUAAUACUAAAUAAAAACAAUAAAUAAUUUACUUAAUAAAAGAUAAAGAUAUCCCAUAAAAGAAUAAGCAAUCAUUCAUUUGGAUGCCAACCAGCUUUGCAAUCAACCAAACUUACACAUCACACUUUUUGUUUCAUGUCUAUCCAAAUAUGAAUGCAAUACCACCCUCUUCACUUCUUCUUUUCUCACUCACUGCCCCUUCUACAUCAUGACUUCACCCCCAAUUUCAAUGACAGGGAUGUGGGAAAUGUUGGCCCAAUCUUUGCCUUUCUCCUUUUUACAACGUUUCUCCAGCAAAGGACAGUUCCUAAUGUAAAAAAAAGAGAGGGAGGGAGGGAGCAUGUUUGGGGGCAUGGAUUGGAGCUUGGGACAACUGUCGAUAAGCAAUCUGGAAAGAGAGGUGAGGUGUUGAAACCCCUUAUACUCCAAACUCUUUAGAUUUGGAAGUUGAGAGAGCCAGAGAGUUUCAAGAGAAGAGGGAAGCAGAUGUUCAUCUGGAAAACACUCCAUCUCUACUUCUGAAAAUGAGAUCUCGAGAUCUGUAAGAGAAGGGAGUGUAUGCAAACUCCAUUCCCUUUUCCUAAUCAAGCUCUCAAUUAGUUUAUCACUGCUUCCGAUUGUAAUUCUUUUUAAUUUGGAGGGCAAACCCUCUUUUGGAACCCUCUCUAUUUCUGGACAUACAAGUAUUUUCAAAUCCUCAAGGGAUGGAAAGACAGAGUGCAUUUGCUCUGGCAAUGACUUUAAACUAGGGCAACCCAAAAGCGUAAGCCGGGUCAAAUUGGUUACAGCUAAUCCAUCUUCAAUUUGAAAAGAUUUCAAAUUUUGGCACCACUAUAUUUCCAAAGAAUUGAGACAUGUUAGAUGCUGGUGGUGAGAGCCCUCUAAAGCAGCACUAAAAAACUUCAAGUCUUCACAUCCAGAAAUUUCAACAUGCUUUAGCAUAGGAAACGGUCCUAAUGAGAAAGAUUCCAGUUGAUCACACUUUGUACCUUUUAUCUUCAGAGAUUCAAGGGAUGUAUACAAGAAGAUUUUGGAAUGAUUAAAAGCUUUGCACUGCUCGAUCCUCAGUUUUUUCAGUGUAAUAGACACACUAUCCUCAGGAAGGGAUUUGAUAUUAGAACAACCAGAGAUAAUUAACUCGUCGAGAUGAGUGCAGUGUUUCAACAUCUGUUCCAAUAUGGAAUCAUUCAUACUCGAACCUUUGAUGCCCAACUUUCGAAGCCCACAAGGCAAUGGCUCCAAUUGCAGUGCAUCGCAUCUUUCUAACUCAAGUUCACAAAUGCCUGGUGUCCUUGGGAGAAAACAUUCAAGCUUCUCACAAUUUGCAAUCACCAAUUUCUUUAAAGAGGGGAGGUGUUUGGGUAUUGACUUGAUUAGCUUUGGACAAUCCCUGAUGCGUAGCUCUUGCAGAAGGGAGAAAGCUUCAUCACUCCUACACAACCAUUCUUCCCACCCAGCCAUAUUCUCAAACACUAGGAUUUCAAGAGAUCCAAAUGGUUUAGUCGAAGCUUGUCCAUUACUAUAGAACUCCUCGCCAACUAUUACAACUUUCCUGAACCCAGAAAUGGAGAGAGAUUUCAAAGAUGAUAAUUGGCCAAGCGGAGGCAAAGAUAUGCAAAAUUUACAAUCUUGCAACUCCAAAGAUAUCAUAUUUGAGAAGGACAAAUGCCCCACCCAUUCUGGAAAUCUCCUGCCUUUGUAACUUCCGAUAACUAGAUGCUUCAAGUUUGUAUUAGGCUCCAAUUGUUCCAAUACUUCUCUAUCAUGCUUUGAGUCACCAGCAAUAUCAUAAUAUUCAUCCCAUGUCAACUUCAACUCCUUAAGAUUAACCUUAUCCUUCAAAUUGGCAUCUUUGGCAUCCCUGGCAUUUACAACAUUUUUCAGUCUUGAAAUGGCAAGUCUUCCCCGUAAGUGCUUGAGCUUUCCCAACUCAUUAAUGCUUGAGCCAGUUUGAUCACCUAUAACAAAAUCUGUUAAGAUUCGAAUAUCUUUCAACUUACCCAUCCCUUCUGGCAUCCUAGUUAACUUUGUUCCCCUAAUAUCAAGAUAAAGCAUGUUGAUCAAUCUCCCCAUGUCUCUCGGCAACUCAACAAGGUCACUGCAUACAUGCAAUGUCAAUGCUUGCAAAUUAUACACCGUACACAGAGAAUUUGGCAACCUUGUGAUUGAAGUUUUUGAGAGAUUCAAAUUUCGUAGAUGCUUCAAGUUACUAAUUUCUUUUGGCAAUUCUUUGAUAUUUGUAUACCCAGCCAAAGAAAGCACUCGUAAGCUUGAUUUCAUCAACAAAUCAUGCAUUAGCACAUUGCUAACACUACAAUAGGAAGAAGACUUCACAGUUAGGAAAGCACGCAGACAUUUUGCUUUAGGUAAGCUCUGAAAUUUUUGUCGCACAUCAUAAAAUUCUUGGACAUUGGACAAAUGACGGGUCUUUUCAGUUAUUACACAAGAACCACCACUCCCUUCCAAUCUGCAGAUGAAUUCUCCGGUGACAGAUUUAGCCAAGUCACUAAUUAGAUCAUGCAUGACAAAACAAGAUUUCUCUCCUUUUGAUUGUUGAAAAAAGGACCUCAAUCUCAAAUCUUUGAAGUACUCGUUACCCAGUUCUUCUGGAUUUCCAUUAUCUUUCGAAAGCUGUAAAAGUCCUUCAGCCAUCCAUAAUUGAAUAAGUUCUUCCUUUUCGAAUUCGUAAUCUUUAGGAAAAAUUGAACAAUAAGCAAAACAUCGCUUUAAAUGUGAAGGAAGAUAAUGAUAACUUAAUGCUAGCGCUGGAAGAAUAUUACUUGCAGUAUUUGGUAUGUCCCAAAAAUUGCUAUGCAAGAUUUUGUUCCAUUCAUCAGCGUCUAGUUUACAGCGAAGGAGACCUCCAAGUGUUUUUGCAGCCAAAGGAAGGCCGUUACACCUUUUCACGAUUGCUUCACCAAUUGCCUUGAGAUCCGGAUGCGUACUUGGGGUUGUACCAACGAACGCAUGCUUUGCGAAUAACGUCCAACAAUCAUCAUUAGAUAAGGUCUUCAGAGGAUAAGUUGGAAUAGUCCUCAUAAUGUCGGCAACANNNNNNNNNNNNNNNNNNNNNNNNNNNNNNNNNNNNNNNNNNNNNNNNNNNNNNNNNNNNNNNNNNNNNNNNNNNNNNNNNNNNNNNNNNNNNNNNNNNNUUACAAUCGAAUCACGAGUUCACGGUCAAAUUUGAAAGGAAUGCUGAGCUGCUCCCACACAGCAUAGUUUUCAUUCCAAACAUCAUCCAUAAUGAUUAGAUAUUUCUUUCCCAACAGCUGCUCUUUGAGUUUAAGUUGAAACUGAUUUAAGUUCUGGUUUCCAUCACAGCUACAUUUGGUUUCUUCAAGAAUGGUUUUGGUUACCUUGAGAGCAUCAAAUUUCUCUGAAACACACACCCAUGCUUUGGGGUGAAACCAUUUAUCCACUCUGGGGUCAUUGUAGAUCAAUUGGGCAAGGGUGGUUUUUCCAAGCCCGCCCAUACCCACAAUGGGAAUCACAUCUACCUGAUUUUUAGGCAGAUUUUGAGGAUCCAACAACUUCAUUAUUUCUUCUUUUUCAUCAUCUCUACCACAAACAUCAGACUCGUCCACCAAAGAAGUUGCAGGCGUUCUUUGAAAUGCCUUUUCUCCUUCAGAGUUUUCUUUCAGACCCAGAAUCUGUUUUUGGUUCAGUAGGUUGUCUAGUCUCCCAAGGAUCUCCUCUAGCUUUGACUGCGCCCCAUCUUUGAAAGGAUUCAAAGAAGAGAAAAAGCUACUAACCUGCUUCAUAUUAGUAGUUUGAUAUUCUGAUUCAAUCUUGUUCCGAAGAGCUUCAGUAGAGAUCUCGUCCAGGAGGUCCUCGGCAUCAUAAACAGCAUCUUUGAGCUCAUCGGUCCAACUUUUGACAUUUGGGUUGGCAAUCUGCUUAUUUUCAGCAUCAUCCAACACUGCUUUCACCGACAUCAAGGUUGGCUUGAGUUUGUUCAGCAGCACAGCUUCAAGUUUCUUUCCUUUGAUAAGCCUCAGAACAUCGGCAGAAACAAUCCUAUCAAGCAGCACCUCAAUGGAAGCAGAGAGAAAAGCUUCACCCACCAAAGCCAUGUUUUUUUGUGGGGUUUUUUGGUAAAGAAAGGUUUAAAGGAAGAUGAAAAGGGAAGUAAUAACAAAGAAAGGAAAAGAAGAGUGCUUCAACUAAAGAGAAGACACGGUUGCAAAGAUGAAGGAUUUGAAUUUGAAACAGAGAAAGGAACAGUAGAAGGAUUGGAUGAAAGGGGAAGGCUUUAACUCGCAAAUACUUUAGUUUCAAUAAAGAUGAAGCAGCCUCAUCCAAUUUGUGUAUAAAAUUUCUUUAUUGGAAUGUUUGAAAACAUGAUUUUGGGUUGAAAAUUUUAAAUUUUUUUUAUAACGUAUAAAAAGUAUGGAAAAUUAAUGUAUUACACAAAUGAUGAAAUA
rnacentral:lncRNA from 1 species